AGUCCAUAAGCCAAACUCGCGGACGCCGGCGUCUGCCAUCGAUUUUUUUGUGCUUGCUGUAAAACGAUAAACCUAGUGUCGAAGAUUUUCGUCAUUCAUGUCACUAAAAAGUGGCAUAAUUAUUUUUGAUGUUCUAAUCUGUUGUAACAAACAACUGUUACCUAAAAGCAAAGGUGGAACAUCUCGGCAUCAUGCUACCAUAGAUGUUUGGUGUUUGUGCGUGAACGCUGUGCGUUUGUUGUACGGGGUACACAAGUCUAUAAUAUUACUAUCUGGCUGUACGACUUUAGAUUUCUAUUGUUGAACUCCCGCAAACGGGAUACCAGCUAGCGUAGUUAUCGAGAACCUUGACAGGAUUGAAGUUCAUUCGGUGGAUCUGUGAACGCCGUGAGGAUUGUAUUAAUAGAGCGGCGAGUGUCCACUAUCGAAUCUCAAUUAGCGCAGAAUUACCUAAAUAUACAUUGUGUGUAUUGCCGUGAGACGUUUACCCCGAUUACUUCUGGGCUAGAGCUUGCAUAAUAGUGGGAAGUGUUUUUACCAGACGAGGUCUCUACCGGGGCCAGUGUCAUCUAGACGAAUCCGAUUCAAUCCAAUAAUGCAAUGAUGUCUAAACGUACUGCUGAAGAUGUGGCCCCGGAAUCAAAACGCCGUUCUCUUUUAACGGGACUGAAGCAAGCGAUGAGCUUGGAAGGUAACCAGGUAUACGCAGACGCCACAUGCGUAGCUAUUGCCGACAAGUUUCCGAAGGCCCGCCAUCAUUGGCUGGUUCUACCCAGAGAAGAUAUUCCCACUAUAAAAGCGCUUCGAUCUCACCACGUCCCGAUACUGGAACACCUUGAAAAGAUUGGCCGGCAGCUAAUUGCGGACAAUGGGCUAGAUGAGAAAGAUUUUCGGCUGGGCUAUCACGCAGUACCUUCUAUGGCACAACUUCAUCUGCAUGUCAUUUCACAAGAUUUCGAUUCUCCAUCGCUGAAGACCAAAAAACACUGGAACAGCUUUACAACCGCGUUCUUUGUAGACAGCGGAGUUGUUGUGAAUGAUAUACGUACGAAUGGCAGUUUUACCGUUGUCGAGCCACGUAUUGCCGAAGUACUUCUUAAAAAGGAUCUAAAGUGUCAUCGUUGCGAAUACAAGCCGCCGACUAUUCCCAAGCUCAAGGAGCAUCUUAAAACCCAUCUAUAAUACCACGCGAAAGGAACGGGGGCAAGCUGCGAUACGUAUAAAGGAUAUUGAACUAUUUCCAUAAUAUACCAUAUAGAAUACAUCUAUCAUUACGAAUUACGUUUCUCAAUAUCAUCAUGAUUAUAGGUGACAGAUCCUAACCGUUCGGUUACCAAUACUAACGAUGGAGCAGUUCAUAACAUUUGAGGGAGAGGCAGAAUAUCUGGUGGUCGAUACCAGUCUGACACAAGACUUUGCCCCGCUAAUGCCUUCGAGCACUAACGAAACGCACAGCGUAACUGAUGCUUUGGUCAUCUUAAAGCAUAAGCAACAACAGCAGCAACAACAACAACAGCACACUCUUCCCGAUAUUGAGUCCUGCGGUUUUUCUGCCCUGAGAACCACAGAGGCUCCCCGAACUGAGCAGCAGCAGCAGCAUUUCCCCAGCGUGAGCAAAAAUAUACGACAGUCCACAAUGGAGUUGCGUCAAUUGCCAAUCACGUACAAAAGCGCACCAACAUCGUAUGAGAUUUCAAACAUGAAAGAAAGGUGUCUAACUACGCAAUCGAUUGGAGGAAAAGUGAGGCACUCAGGCGACAGCGGGUCCUUAAUAAAGAAAGCCAUGAUUGACAUACACGACUGUGGUUCCACUGGGAAACGGGGGGAUGUUUUAGCAUUAGGUUCUGUUAACGACUUUUACUGUUUCCAGUGCAAAUUGCAGUUUAAUUGCGAGUCAAACGUAGUAGCACACUUCAAGUCGGCCCACUCCCGCAUCACAUGUCAUCAUUGUAGAUUGCUUAAAUUUGACACUUACAUUUCAUACAGGCGGCACGUAAAGGAGUCACACAUCGCGUGCUUUCUGUGUCAUGCGAUGGUUAAACAUAAAACGGCACUGCAAAAGCAUCUAUCCAGGUAUCAUCCCGAUCGUUCGGAUCGCUUUAAAAUCAACUGCGGAGAACCGGAUUGUGGUAACCAGUUUAUCAACCUGUUGGGGCUAACGAUCCACCUUAAGGUAGACCACAAUCUUCCUAUUGUAGCAAAAACCGUAACGGUCGCCAGCUGGGAGGCAGCCCAACAGUGGAUAGUUUUUGAAGAACUUUUUUAUAAUGUGAAGUUUGUGGUACGCAACAAUUACCGAUCAGGAAACUCCAUCGUACGCAAGUAUUGGUGCGACUGGAACGGACUAUUUCAACGAGGGAAAGAAAUGCGUGAGAGCGGUCGUUCGCGGGUGCCCCAAUGCGUGGCUUUCUGUACCGUCGAUGUAGACAACUCCAGGGCUCGCUAUGUAAUUAACGCAUGUUUAAGUCAUUACGGGCAUCGCAUGGAUACAGUGACGCCAAGAUGCUCGUUCAGGACAUGUGACCAGGUUGGCUUCAUUAACCACUACACGAAUAGUAGUAUCCGCUACUUCAAACCAGCUGAAGAGCAAAUCGUACAACAAUGGCUGUCGCUUCUAAGUAUGCGCGAAAAGCGGGAUGUGCUUGUCUGUUCCAGGCACUUCGUACCGCGAGACUUUGAUACUGAUCUCAUUAGCAACAUGUUAAUCCUCAAACCGUUGGCCAUACCGAGCGUCUUUGGUGCAGCUGCACACAUGAACGACCCUUUCAACGAUUGCGCAUGUGAACAUUCAAAUGAGUGUUCCAUAGUACGAGAAAACAAAGCUCUCAGGGCUAGGGUGGCUGUUCUCGAAGGAGACGUCGCAAGACUUCAACAAAUACAGGCUAGGUAAAACUCAAAAAGCAAGUUUACAUCUGCAAACAACACACGACAGUUGCGUGGAGCAGGCGGCGACAGUAGCGCACAUUGUGUGCACUUUUGACGAAGCCCGCCGGACGCGCAGUCGGGCAUUUGAGAGGACAGAAAAAGGCGUGUCGAUAAGAAACGUGCUAAGCUCAACAACUGUCAGCCAAGACAGAAUGGCAUCACAGCAUCGCACGCCAUUAGAUAUAUCAAGCGGCAUUCAACAGCAGAACAUUGUAAUGUAAUGGUAGUAUAUCCAACUCAAGGGCAAAUCGAGUGAAUUACCGAUUUCAAUUAAGAAAAAAUAAUAUGGUAACAUCCUGAAGCACCUGUAGCAGCCAUAAUUAAUGACACAGGAAACGGAAGCAGAAAAUUAUGUAAAUUCGACAUGGGUUCUUAUACAUAAGCAUCUACCAGCUGUAAAAGUAAGAGUCCAAAAACGAGAUAACCGCAAAUAAUAAUGCGCCUUUUGCACAAGCUUAAUUUUGAUAGAAAAAUAGAAGCGUGUCUUUAUUCUAAAUAUACAGGAUGGUGCAUGCAAGUUCGCAAUACUCUAGCGUAGACGUUGAGUUUAAUCAAAAAGUUUAUUUGGCGAUUUAAGGUACUUAUAUCACUACAGAAUUAUUCCAAGUAGGGAAUAUGGUUACCUCAGGAUAUCAAACAUGCAGUCGUCUUACUACUGCCUUUUUACACCGUACUUCUUGGAACAGAAAAUUUGAAAACAUUGCCUAAGUAUUCAUUUGGUUUACAACGCACAUGAGAGAUUUGGCUGUUCUUACAUAUAUAAAUGACGCUUUUGGUCCAAUGGUUUCUCAUACCAUAAAGAGAUAAUCCAUAAUUACGCACAACUAUUGCAUAAUAAUAAUACUAGUAAUUCAAAGAGUAAAAGCAGAUAUCGUAAG